rnacentral:rRNA from 1 species
AAAUAGAUACCCGGGUAGUCCACGCCGUAAACGAUGAGUGCUAAGUGUUAGGGGGUUUCCGCCCCUUAGUGCUGCAGCUAACGCAUUAAGCACUCCGCCUGGGGAGUACGGUCGCAAGACUGAAACUCAAAGGAAUUGACGGGGGCCCGCACAAGCGGUGGAGCAUGUGGUUUAAUUCGAAGCAACGCGAAGAACCUUACCAGGUCUUGACAUCCCAUUGACCACUAUGGAGACAUAGUUUUCCCUUCGGGGACAACGGUGACAGGUGGUGCAUGGUUGUCGUCAGCUCGUGUCGUGAGAUGUUGGGUUAAGUCCCGCAACGAGCGCAACCCUUGUUCUUAGUUGCCAUCAUUUAGUUGGGCACUCUAAGGAGACUGCCGGUGACAAACCGGAGGAAGGUGGGGAUGACGUCAAAUCAUCAUGCCCCUUAUGACCUGGGCUACACACGUGCUCAAAUGGACGGUCAAAACGGUUGCCGAACCGCGAGGGGGAGCUAAGUCCGAUAAAACCGUUCUCGAGUUCGGAUUGUAGGCUGCAACUCGCUACAUGAAGGACCG